CCAGUGCCCUCUACCACUGAGCCACUUCACCAGCCCCGCUUCCCAUUAACGUUUGCCCUCACCCCAUUUCUCCUUUAAUCCCCCUGAAGAUCCCGGCGAUGCACCAAUAUGGCAGGGCUACCGACCACUACCGAGCUCUGGACAGGAGGUCCACGACGGAUUGUAUGAUGCCAGCCCACCUUGAAGAAAGCGAUGUUUAUUUGGACAACUGACUCGGAUGCUGGUCUCUUCUUGGAACAGUUUCACAGGCAAACCUAGAAAUAACAUUGUGCUAGCGAUGUGAGCCUCCCUUAGCAUAGCAAGCGUAGAAAAUUAGCCGACACCAAAGACAGUGGAGGAAUUAUCCAAGAAACAAACAAAACAAAAUGCAUUCAUCAGAUAAUAUCGCUUGCCUGCCCACAUCCCUCUCCCUUUUUCUUGCUAGAAAUGCUUAUUUUAUUCAGCAUUGAGGAAACAGUGUGCUCAAUAAGUUUGCUUGCUCCUCUGGCAUUAGAGGAUGAAAUGUAAUAGCCGAUUCUACCCCCUCCCCCAGCGAUGGUAACAUAAGGGACACAAAAGGUCAAAAGGAUGGAAAAGGAAUUCAGCGGGGACUUCUGAAGAUGGCUUUAUCCAGAUAGUGAUAAAAAGCAGUACCCUCCUUUCUGCUCGCAUUCAAGUACAAGAAGGCAUGAUGCUUGGCACUUCGGUAGCUAUUGUUGAGACCAUGAAACGAAAGAAGAAAGAACCAGAGACGCAAACCCAGAAGCCAGACAGCAGUGACACCGCUAAAUUAACCAACCUGGCAACCCUCUGCUCCCAGCCGCUCUGAACAUUUCAUUUCCCAGAGGGAAAAACAUCUUAACUGAAAAAGUGUCUUAUGCAAUGUUCUAUAAAACUUCUUAUAAAUAACGUUAUUAAACGUUAUCAAAAGCAGACCCUAGGCUUUUAUUUCGAUACACAGUUAUACAUUAGAUACAAUUGGCAGUCGUGAUUUACAUGAUUAGAAUUCACGGAACGCUUUAGGCUAAUUUUUUUGUUGUUGUUGUUCUUUUGUUGUUGUUGUUGUCUCUUUGUUUUUGACCAGGUCUUCCUCCUAUGUAGGCCAAAGGAAAUCAGCACCGUGCACUUCCAACUCAGACUCCAGUUCGUGGUUUUCCUGCCUCUUUGUUCCGUUUGUGCUGGGAUUAUAGGCACAAAGCACCAUGCACAGUGACUGAGGCUGUUUUCACAAGACUUAGUAAAUCCAAGUCACUUUACACUACCAGAGGAAGGCAUAGCCAUCUUAUUUACAUUCUGUCCUUUGACUGUUAGAGCCCAUCCAGGCAGGGGCGACAGCCAUCUACUGUGUCCGUACUCCUGAGGCUUGGCUGGAGGACGGGUCACUUCAUGGUUAACCCCAAAGCUGCCUGACAGACCGAAGAGCCAAGUGGUCGAACUGAAGAGCCACAGGUGGGGGCAAGGGUGUUUGUAAGACCCUUGCAGACAAGCCUCAGCUUCUCACUUGGGAAAUCUUUGAAUUAAAAAAAAAUAAAAAAUCAGUCCUAAUGAG